GACAGAGGUGCCAAGCGUUAGGCGGAAUCACUGGGCUUAAAGCGUGUGUAGGCGGGUCGUUAAGUACCUUGUGAAAUCCCCCCGGCUCAACCGGGGAACGGCUGGGUAUACUGGCGAUCUCGAGCCACCUAGGGGCAGUCGGAACAAGUGGUGGAGCGGUGAAAUGCGUAGAUAUCACUUGGAACGCCAAUGGUGAAAACAGACUGCUGGGGGUGUGCUGACGCUGGAGACACGAAAGCCAGGGGAGCAAACGGGAUUAAAAACCC
rnacentral:rRNA from 1 species